AUUGAACGCUGGCGGCAUGCCUUACACAUGCAAGUCGAACGGCUGCAUGGGUGCUUGCACCUGAUGGCGAGUGGCGAACGGGUGAGUAAUGCAUCGGAACGUACCCGGAAGUGGGGGAUAACGUAGCGAAAGUUACGCUAAUACCGCAUAUUCUGUGAGCAAGAAAGUGGGGGAUCGCAAGACCUCGCGCUUCCGGAGCGGCCGAUGUCGGAUUAGCUAGUUGGCGGGGGAAAGGCCCACCAAGGCAACGAUCCGUAGCGGGUCUGCGAGGAUGAUCCGCCACACUGGGACUGAGACACGGCCCAGACUCCUACGGGAGGCAGCAGUGGGGAAUUUUGGACAAUGGGGGCAACCCUGAUCCAGCCAUGCCGCGUGAGUGAAGAAGGCCUUCGGGUUGUAAAGCUCUUUCGGCCGGGAAGAAAUCGCACAGGUUAAUACCUUGUGUGGAUGACGGUACCGGAAUAAGAAGCACCGGCUAACUACGUGCCAGCCGCCGCAGUAAUAC
rnacentral:rRNA from 1 species